CCCAAUCCCCAACCGACAUCGUUCCCGUUUGCCCUUCCCAUUAAAGACCUUCCCAUUAAAGAGAGGUAAACAGGAGUGAGAGAUAUAGGGAUCGGCUGGUGGUUUUUGGUAGGUUUUUGGCGGCACCCGGGGUUGAUGCCUCCGAUUUCUUUGGCUCCCAUAUGGUCAAUCAGUGUACGUAUGCUAAAUUGAUCUAACCAUCCGACCCAUGAUAAGAAGUGCCUAGAUGCUUUCAGCAACCAACAAUGGCGGAUGUUGAGGUCGAUGUUGCAGCAGCCGGAGCACCGAAGAAGAGGACGUUCAAGAAGUUCAGUUUCAGAGGAGUUGAUCUGGAUGCUCUCCUUGAUAUGUCUACUGAUGAGCUUGUUAAGCUCUUCACUGCUCGUGCUUGCAGAAGGUUCUAGAGAGGGUUUGAAGAGGAAGCCUAUGGCUUUGAUUAAGAAGCUCC